AUUUAGUGAGUUUAGAUUAUUUUACCCAACUUAUUUCCUACAGUUUUCAAGGUUUCCCAUUACUCUAGCUAAUACUUUAUCUUCUGUUUUUUAUAUAUUGUACAUGUCACCAGUUAGUAGAGGCCUUGAGUUCAUCUCUCUUCACAUUUACUGAAGGCAGGAAAAGCAGUCUGUGUAGAUAUAAGUGCUAAUUUUCCUGACAGGAAUGUCAACAUUCUAAGGAGAAAUCUGUAUCAGGUUAUCCCAAAGACUUUGAAUUUCCCCAGGAAUCUAAUUCUGGAAGAAGGCAUAGGUUACAAUUUGAUUUCACUUAGACAAGAAGCUUGUUUUCUGAAAAGUUAUUUCACAUUGAUAGAGCAGCUUUUCAGACCUCUUUGCAGCAGACAUGAAGCCAAACAGUGAUGGAACACUGUAUUAGUUACAUUUCUGUUGCUGCAAUGAGACACCAUGACCAAGGACACAUAUAGAAAAAC
rnacentral:lncRNA from 1 species